rnacentral:lncRNA from 1 species
CUCAUCACAAAUAAAGUGAAGCUUAAAAAUAAGAACAAAAAUUGGGAAUAAAAAUAUUUUGGAACAUGCUAAAAUAUACAGUUUCUGCUCUAUUAAGAAACAAGCAGACAAUCAAUACUCUCUGGAUAAUCCUUAACCCCAAAGGGGAGAGACAAGUGAAAAAGACAUUUUAUAAAUUAGGUGAAAAUAUCUCAUUGAAAUAAUAGCAGAGUUCCCGUCAUGAUGCCCGGGAAAUGAAUCCGACUAGGAACCAUGAGGUUGCAGGUUCGAUCCCUGCUCUCACUCUGUGGGUUAAGGAUCCAGCAUUGCCGUGAGCUGUGGUGUAGGUCGAAGACAUGGCUCUCGGAUCUGGCGUUGCUGGGGCUCUGGCUGCAGCUCCGGUUGGACCCUUAGCCUGGGAACCUCCAUAUGCCGUGGGUGCAGCAACUAAAAAGACAAAACACACACACACACACAAAAGCAACAAUAGCAACUUAUAUCUAAGAGAUUAAAACUUGAGAUUUAAAGUAGAAAAUGUUUGAAAAAUGUUGUGAUUCUGAGUAAGCCUUAUAAUAUUUCUAUAUCACUCUUGGCUGCAUUAACAUUAACUAAUUAACGCUCCUUCUACACCAACAAACCACUGAGAACUUAAAUGCGUGAUAAUGAGGAGGGGAUUCUUUCAUGUUGAUACUUUGCUCUGAAUACUCCAACUACAUGCAAAGUUACAGCUACAGCUUUUUCAGCUCUGUAAGUGCAAGUUCAACCACAUAAUCACAAAUAACAUAGACGGCCAAGGUAUCAGUCCACUACUAAUUUAGCCAUGUUUUCCUAACCAGAAUAUGCAUUUGUUUUUGGUGACAGUAGUAAUAAAAUUAUUUUUUAAUUUAUUCAUUUGUUUUUCAUUUGGUUAUUUAAUCAUAUUGGUGCUCUAGUUUGUUCCAUAAAGAGAUUGAGAAAGCCUAGAGUAAAAUUACAUGAGGUGCUUUUUCUAUGUUCCUCCCCUGUGAUAUCUGAUUACCCUUACAGCAAACCUGUAAAGAGGAUUUGACCAUCCCUGUUUCACAGGUUAGAGCUCAGGUGGUUGGUCCGAAGACACAGCUAGUACACAGAACGGGAUUAUGAACUUGGGGUCUAUCUGAUGCCAAAAAAAAAAACACCCUCCUGACUUUGCUAGUGGCUUCCUUGGUUGAAAGGAAUUCUCCUUGGUAUGUCACUGAGUCAUUCAUCCUCUUAAACUGUUUACUGUGACAGAGUGUGUAUCUUGACUGCAAAGAAAAAUACCUUGUAUGUCUUUUUAACCAAUUCAAGUGUGUCAGACUAGAGCCCUGCAGCUCUAGGAUGAUCCCAGUCAUACCAAACUAUAGGGUCGAUACACUCAAACUUCCCUUUCCCUUCCCUUCACUGGUUGGAAAUCUAAGUUUCAGGAAGGUUUCUGAUUUAAAGGAAUACUAUGUUUACUGCAAAGUUCAUGGAACUAUACUCAAUAUUUUGUAAUAAACCCAGCGUGGAAAAGAAUCUGAAAAAGAAUAUAUAUGUACACGGAGUACCUGUUGUGGCGCAGCAGAAACGAACCCAACUAGUAUCCAUGAGGACAUGGGUAGGCUCCCUGGCCUUGCGCAGUGGUUGGGGAUCCAGAGUUGCCAUGAGUUGUGGUGUAGAUCGCAGACGUGGCUCAGGUCCCAAGUUGCUGUGGCUGGGGUGUAGGCUGGUGGCUGUGGCUCUGAUUCGACUCCUAGCCUGCGAACUUCCAUAUGUCAUGGGUGCGGCCAUAAAAGAAAAGAAAAAAUAUAGGAGUUCCCGUCAUGGCACAGUGGUUAACAAAUCCAACCAGGAACCAUGAGGUUUCGGGUUCGAUCCCUGGCCUCGAUCAGUGGGUUAAGGAUCUGGCGUUGCUACGAGCUGUGGUGUAGGUCACAGACAUGGCUCGGAUCCCGAGUUGCUGUGGCUGUGGUAUAGGCCGGCGGCUACAGCUCCGAUUAGACCCCUAGCC